UUCCUGUUCGUAUAACGGCUAGUAUGCUCGCUUGUCAUGAGUGAUCGCGGGAGAUCGGAGUUCGAUUCUCCGACAGGAAG
rnacentral:tRNA from 2 species